rnacentral:rRNA from 1 species
GAUGAACGCUGGCGGCGUGCCUAAUACAUGCAAGUCGAGCGAACAGACGAGGAGCUUGCUCCUCUGACGUUAGCGGCGGACGGGUGAGUAACACGUGGAUAACCUACCUAUAAGACUGGGAUAACUUCGGGAAACCGGAGCUAAUACCGGAUAAUAUAUUGAACCGCAUGGUUCAAUAGUGAAAGACGGUUUUGCUGUCACUUAUAGAUGGAUCCGCGCCGCAUUAGCUAGUUGGUAAGGUAACGGCUUACCAAGGCAACGAUGCGUAGCCGACCUGAGAGGGUGAUCGGCCACACUGGAACUGAGACACGGUCCAGACUCCUACGGGAGGCAGCAGUAGGGAAUCUUCCGCAAUGGGCGAAAGCCUGACGGAGCAACGCCGCGUGAGUGAUGAAGGUCUUCGGAUUGUAAAACUCUGUUAUUAGGGAAGAACAAAUGUGUAAGUAACUAUGCACGUCUUGACGGUACCUAAACAGAAAGCCACGGCUAACUACGUG